GUUGACCUCGGAUCAGGUAGGGAUACCCGCUGAACUUAAGCAUAUCAAUAAGCGGAGG
rnacentral:rRNA from 30 species